AAGAACCCCGGCGAGGGGAGUGAAAAAGAACCUGAAACCGUGUACGUACAAGCAGUGGGAGCCCCACCACUAAGCCAGUGGUGAACUCCACAUACGCAUCCUUUGCUGAGGAUACGGUUAACGGAGCGAAAGCGACGUUCAACCUCAAAAGAAGCAGAGGGGGCUUAGUGGUGGGGUGACUGCGUACCUUUUGUAUAAUGGGUCAGCGACUUAUAUUCUGUAGCAAGGUUAACCGUAUAGGGGAGCCGCAGGGAAACCGAGUCUUAACCGGGCGUUAAGUUGCAGGGUAUAGACCCGAAACCCGGUGAUCUAGCCAUGGGCAGGUUGAAGGUUGGGUAACACUAACUGGAGGACCGAACCGACUAAUGUUGAAAAAUUAGCGGAUGACCUGUGGCUGGGGGUGAAAGGCCAAUCAAACCGGGAGAUAGCUGGUUCUCCCCGAAAGCUAUUUAGGUAGCGCCUCGUGAACUCAUCUCCGGGGGUAGAGCACUGUUUCGGCUAGGGGGCCAUCCCGGCUUACCAACCCGAUGCAAACUGCGAAUACCGGAGAAUGUUAUCACGGGAGACACACGGCGGGUGCUAACGUCCGUCGUGAAGAGGGAAACAACCCAGACCGCCAGCUAAGGUCCCAAAGUCAUGGUUAAGUGGGAAACGAUGUGGGAAGGCCCAGACAGCCAGGAUGUUGGCUUAGAAGCAGCCAUCAUUUAAAGAAAGCGUAAUAGCUCACUGGUCGAGUCGGCCUGCGCGGAAGAUGUAACGGGGCUAAACCAUGCACCGAAGCUGCGGCAGCGACACUAUGUGUUGUUGGGUAGGGGAGCGUUCUGUAAGCCUGUGAAGGUGGCCUGUGAGGGUUGCUGGAGGUAUCAGAAGUGCGAAUGCUGACAUAAGUAACGAUAAAGCGGGUGAAAAGCCCGCUCGCCGGAAGACCAAGGGUUCCUGUCCAACGUUAAUCGGGGCAGGGUGAGUCGACCCCUAAGGCGAGGCCGAAAGGCGUAGUCGAUGGGAAACGGGUUAAUAUUCCCGUACUUGGUGUUACUGCGAAGGGGGGACGGAGAAGGCUAUGUUGGCCGGGCGACGGUUGUCCCGGUUUAAGCGUGUAGGCUGGUUUUCCAGGCAAAUCCGGAAAAUCAAGGCUGAGGCGUGAUGACGAGGCACUACGGUGCUGAAGCAACAAAUGCCCUGCUUCCAGGAAAAGCCUCUAAGCAUCAGGUAACAUCAAAUCGUACCCCAAACCGACACAGGUGGUCAGGUAGAGAAUACCAAGGCGCUUGAGAGAACUCGGGUGAAGGAACUAGGCAAAAUGGUGCCGUAACUUCGGGAGAAGGCACGCUGACAUGUAGGUGAAGUGAUUUACUCAUGGAGCUGAAGUCAGUCGAAGAUACCAGCUGGCUGCAACUGUUUAUUAAAAACACAGCACUGUGCAAACACGAAAGUGGACGUAUACGGUGUGACGCCUGCCCGGUGCCGGAAGGUUAAUUGAUGGGGUCAGCGCAAGCGAAGCUCCUGAUCGAAGCCCCGGUAAACGGCGGCCGUAACUAUAACGGUCCUAAGGUAGCGAAAUUCCUUGUCGGGUAAGUUCCGACCUGCACGAAUGGCGUAAUGAUGGCCAGGCUGUCUCCACCCGAGACUCAGUGAAAUUGAACUCGCUGUGAAGAUGCAGUGUACCCGCGGCAAGACGGAAAGACCCCGUGAACCUUUACUAUAGCUUGACACUGAACAUUGAGCCUUGAUGUGUAGGAUAGGUGGGAGGCUUUGAAGUGUGGACGCCAGUCUGCAUGGAGCCGACCUUGAAAUACCACCCUUUAAUGUUU
rnacentral:rRNA from 1 species